UUACGGCCAUGUCACAUUGAAACACCAGUUCCCAUAUGAUCACCAAAUUUAAGCAAUGUUGAGCUUAGUCAGUACCUAGAUGGGUAAUCACUUGGGAAUAACAGGUGCUGUAAG